CAACUAUGCCCUCUAUCUUGUACAGCUUUGAGGGAUAGCUUCCAUCAAAAGAGAAGGAGAUUCGAGUCCUUGAAAAUAUCAACAUCCAUAUAAGGAAAGCCCUCUCAUCGAGCAACACAAGGAGUAUUAAAUCCAACCAAUUGACCACUGAAAGAAAGCUCCCUCAAAAUCAUAUUUCUAACAAGACUUCCUCACUAUAAAGAGUGCAUAUCUGCAACACAAAAACAAACCCAAAG
rnacentral:misc_RNA from 1 species